UGGACAACCUUGUUGCAACCAUCCCUACUCACAAACAUACUCGAUUCACGCAUCUUUGAAUCCCCCUAGACUUUGACCUCGUUGUCUGCCUCCACCUUUUUAUGUUGCGAUCCACCAGCCAGUCGUAACAUAAAAUUAGGGACUUGUCCGAAAUGUUUUUUAUUUUCCCCGCCCAAUUGAGUUCUGCGUGGAUUGUGUGGUUAUUUCAUUCGUUGUUGCGGUGUCCUCUACCUCCGAGCACUCCAGGUAAGAAGCAGUGGCUCAGCUAGAUCAUCAGAUCUUUCCAUCCAGCACUGGUUUGUUGUUUUGCGUUUUUUUUAUUUCGUGAUUGUGUUCUAUUUUUUCGUCGUGGAAACAAUCCUGGGCGGGAGUUGUAAAACUUUCGUCAGGGGUACGUGAGUACAACUGCACUCAACUUGAGAGCAGUGCACCCCUAGCCCGGCACGUUUCAGAAGCAGCAGGUGUAGGACAGCAUAGCUAAUGGUAAGGUCUGGAGUGUACGGACGGACGAUUAUACCGUGGUUUCCUGGGAGGAACCUUUUUGGGGAGGGAGGAGUUAGGACCCCCUGCACACCCCGCGCCCCGCACACCCCGCCUGCAGUCCCUGUACUGGCCAUACGGAAGCAGCAGGUUGUGGGCAUGCAGUCCCUGUACUGGCCAUACGGAGGUAGCAGGUUUAAUACAGUAAUGUGUGUCCCUUGUGAGCAGCCAU
ensembl:lncRNA